AAGAUCGAAUGGGGAGAUUCAUCGUCGACGGCGUCGGUGAUCGUUGGUGAGCGAUGCUCCGGGUGGGCCUUCGUGGUUCCAUUGGCGAGGGCACGCCACCUUCGAUUCGAACGCUCCGGCGUCGUAGUCGUGCACUUCUCCCCUAGUAGAACGUCGCGACCCGUUGUGUGUCGGUCUACGGCCCGAGCGGGUGACUGUCGCGUCGCUUCGGCGCACGCGGCAGACCCUCGGUCGCCCGGCCGACUGCACGACGGUACACUAUACGGUAUCGGGCCGCAACCAAUCCAUUCUCGAAUGUGUGUGCGUCUAGACCGCCGCAAGCAUCGUCGAUCGUUCUCAGUUAAUACGGACUUUAGUUCCGUGCUGGGGCAUCGGCAGCUGUUGGCUGGCGGAUUUCUUGGACUGGCCGAGUCUCUGAUUACCGGUCGGCGACGCUAUUGCUUUGGGUACUCUCAGGACCCGUCUUGAAACACGGACCAAGGAGUCUAACAUGUACGCGAGUCAUUGGGACUUGUAAACCUAAAGGCGAAAUGAAAGUGAAAAUCGGCUCGCGUUCCCACCCUGAGUGGGUUGCGCGUGUCCGAUCGAGGGAGGAUGGGCCGCGCGACAAUGCGGCCUCGCACUCCCGGGGCGUCUCGUUCUCAUUGCGAGGAGAGGCGCACNUAGAGCGUA
rnacentral:rRNA from 1 species